CGUAAAGCGCAUGCAGGUGGUUUGUUAAGUCAGAUGUGAAAGCCCCGGGGCUCAACCUCGGAAUUGCAUUUGAAACUGGCAGACUAGAGUACUGUAGAGGGGGUAGAAUUUCAGGUGUAGCGGUGAAAUGCGUAGAGAUCUGAAGGAAUACCGGUGGCGAAGGCGGCCCCCCUGGACAGAUACUGACACUCAGAUGCGAAAGCGUGGGGAGCAAACAGGAUUAGAUACCCUGGUAG
rnacentral:rRNA from 1 species